rnacentral:tRNA from 2 species
AAUGAAGAGCCUGAUAAAAGGGUUGCUUUGAUAGGGCAAAUUAUGUGUUAUUUCACCUUCAUUA